rnacentral:lncRNA from 10 species
AAUAUCCUGACCUCACUUUCCUCCCUCCCUUUAAUCUCCUGCAGGUAUUCUCCACUGGUUGAAUGCAAAUGGAAGCCAGAGGAAAAGGGAACCCUUGACACAGUUUUCAUAUAGAUUGGCCUCCAGGGCAGACAGCAGGAGUGGGGUUUAAUCUGGACUGAAUUGGAGGAAAGGAACUGGCACCAGAGUGGAGGCUGGAAGGAUGGUGGAACUGACACUGGGACAGAACACAGAAAACAGAAUCUAAUGCUAUUGCUCUGGCUAUAUCAAAUAAAAGUGUCAAGAGUGAGCAUCCUUGCCUUGUGCUGAAUCACAAAGGAAUACCUUUCAGUUUUUCUCCAUUGAUUAUGAUAGCAGUGGGCUUUUCACAGUGGGCUUUACUGUGUUGAGGUACCCUAAUGACAAGUUCACCCCAGUGUUUUCUGAGGAGUCUACCUGGAAAUGAGAACCAUCUGUCCUUCCUAUAGUAGUUCUUCUCAGAAUGCCGACUCUAUGCUAAUGGUGAGAAAGUAGCUUCCAGAUCAGACCCCCUAAAAAUAUAUCUAAAAACUCAACUCCUGUGGUCAUCUCUUUCAAGUAUUUAAACCUCAGAAUUUUCUCCAGCAAGCAUAUAGGCCCCAUAGAGUCCAUAAGCUUGCAAUGUCUUGGCCAUGUGUACCCAUGUGGUACAUUCAACCACCAAACUGGAAUACGAUAUUGCAUUUCCUGGGCAGGAUUAAGAGUGAGCUCUCUUAGGCUCAGAUGACCCCCACAAUCAAAGGUAAGAGGGCUGUAACUGAAAUAUCACUCAACAGAGGAGGUCUGAUGGCCGGGAGGACAGGAAGAAGGAACCCACAAUGAAGCAAAAGUUGCGUUUAACUCUGUCCUCACCAUUCCUCUCCUGGACCUGUCCUAAACUGGAAGCUGGGGGAGGAUGGAGUGCUGGAAUGCUGCAGAAGUCUCAUGGGAGGGCGCCUGGUGUUCACCACAUGUGUACACUGUUGCACGACCAGAUGGAAAUUUGAAUGCUGGGGCUCAGUGGAACACCUGAAGGAAGCUGGUGAGGCAGAUGUCCCGCUAUGCCUUCCAAGUGUCAUGCAACCAGUUCAUGCCUGUCAGCAUCUCUGCCGGUGGACUCUGUGAGUCAGCAAAUCUACAGAGCAGAGAGCCACAAGUGGGGACAGAUGUGGUCAAAUGCCAUUUAAAUCAGUGAUUCUCAACCCAGGAGUUGUCAUGGCACUGGCCUUGAGUGAGCUGGACCAAGGGAAGUGGUAGAAUUCCCCAUGAAGGACCAAGUGAGCAGAUAGAAGUUUCUCCAUUUUAACUUUUUCUGAGUCAAUUUAAAAAACACCUAGUGCCUUUUUCUGUACAUAGUGCCUGUGGGUUUGAAUUUAAGCCUACCCAAAUGUGCUUUUAUCCCACCUAUUUUGAACCUUGCAUGUCUCCGGGAUAAGAAUUAACAUAAGCUAUAAAUAUUCUUCCAGGACUAAUUAUUAACCGUGAAUGUUGAGCGGCCUUGACAAAUAUAAAAUGUUAUAUAUAGGCCCAAGAGUAGAUCAGAGAGUUAUCUAUCUACUUCAAGUUGAGACUCAGAGUUUUCAUUAAACUCUGCAGUCUCACAGUAUUUCCAAUCAUUUCAGGGCAGACGAAAGUUCCGUGGUAUAUCUUUUUAAUGUGGCAGGCCUCGAGGGUGGAUUGAGUUAGGCAAUUUAUCCCCUUUUAUGCCCUAUAUUCACAUGCAACACUCCAAUGGGGUAACAUAAAACCACAGACAGGUUUCUUUACACCGGUAUUUAAGGGAACUAGGAAAGCAGCCCAAAUCAUGUGGAGAAAGCUGGGGAAAGAAGUAUCAGAGGAGAAAGAGGACCUUAGCAGAAAUGACAAAAGUGAAAAACCUUCCUAACUCCUUCAGACAUGAUGCUUAAAAUUGUGUUUCUUUGGCAACUUAUAAUUUUCUGAAGCUGGUUCUCAGCCUCAGAUCCUCCCCCAAGGUUUUUAUGUUGUAUUUUGACUCAGUAGGAGGGAUCCAGUCCCAGACCUUCCGGCUCUCACCAGUACACCACAGGCUAACGCCAUCCAGCAAUCAGAUGACAGGAGGAGGAGAGGUUCAAAGAGGACUACUGUAUUUCUCAGAAGGGGCUGGCUCAUCUACCCUCCACUGUAUUACUCACACUGUAGAUGCAGAAAACAUGUCAAAGUAUACUGGGGCUCUGCAAUGCAUGCACCCACACACAUGUACACAUACGCACAGACUUCCAAACUAAAAAGGAGAACAGAGCUCAAAAGGGGACAGUGUGCAACUGGUGCUCCAUGUUGUAAGGACCUCCCCUCCUGCGGGCGCGGCUACCCCAGCAGGCUUGUCCGGGCAUGUCCGCCCAGUUGACGCCAGGCCAAGUUUUACGGGAGGAAUUGGCCUGUGUCUAAAGCUGGAGUUCAGCUUUGCUGACUAUGGAGACUGAUCUGUUGGUUGUCAGCAAAGAAAAGGUGGUUUCAAAAGAGCAGCAGAGGACUCUGUGCUAGUUGCUACUGGCCAGCUUUGACUCCGAUUGGAAGCUUGAAAAACAUAGAUUGGAAGCUAUGCAGAAUAUCCAGUGACAGAAAUAAAUCAGAGAUUGCCAGGGGCUGAGGGUGAGAGGAAGGAGAUUGACUUCAAAGGGGCACAGAUAAUUUCUCAGGGUGUCGGAAAUAUUCUGUCUUGAUUGAGGUGGUGAUUACUCGACUGUAUAUGCUUGUAAAAAUUUGUAGAACUGUGUGCCUGAAAAGGGUGAAUUCUACUGUAUGUAAAUUAUAACUCGAUAAACCUGAUUUUUAAAAACACUGUAGUUUGGGAGGCCAUAUAAAACCAAAUAACAUUUUGAGUCAUUAAUGCCUCUUUAAGAAUAUUUUGGAUUGAUUUUUUUUAUUAGAUUAAAA